rnacentral:rRNA from 1 species
AGAGUUUGAUCCUGGCUCAGGACGAACGCUGGCGGCGUGCCUAAUACAUGCAAGUCGAGCGAGCGGAACUAACAGAUUUACUUCGGUAAUGACGUUAGGAAAGCGAGCGGCGGAUGGGUGAGUAACACGUGGGGAACCUGCCCCAUAGUCUGGGAUACCACUUGGAAACAGGUGCUAAUACCGGAUAAGAAAGCAGAUCGCAUGAUCAGCUUUUAAAAGGCGGCGUAAGCUGUCGCUAUGGGAUGGCCCCGCGGUGCAUUAGCUAGUUGGUAAGGUAAAGGCUUACCAAGGCGAUGAUGCAUAGCCGAGUUGAGAGACUGAUCGGCCACAUUGGGACUGAGACACGGCCCAAACUCCUACGGGAGGCAGCAGUAGGGAAUCUUCCACAAUGGACGCAAGUCUGAUGGAGCAACGCCGCGUGAGUGAAGAAGGUUUUCGGAUCGUAAAGCUCUGUUGUUGGUGAAGAAGGAUAGAGGUAGUAACUGGCCUUUAUUUGACGGUAAUCAACCAGAAAGUCACGGCUAACUACGUGCCAGCAGCCGCGGU